CAAGUCGAGCGGUAGAGAGAAGCUUGCUUCUCUUGAGAGCGGCGGACGGGUGAGUAAUGCCUAGGAAUCUGCCUGGUAGUGGGGGAUAACGUUCGGAAACGGACGCUAAUACCGCAUACGUCCUACGGGAGAAAGCAGGGGACCUUCGGGCCUUGCGCUAUCAGAUGAGCCUAGGUCGGAUUAGCUAGUUGGUGAGGUAAUGGCUCACCAAGGCUACGAUCCGUAACUGGUCUGAGAGGAUGAUCAGUCACACUGGAACUGAGACACGGUCCAGACUCCUACGGGAGGCAGCAGUGGGGAAUAUUGGACAAUGGGCGAAAGCCUGAUCCAGCCAUGCCGCGUGUGUGAAGAAGGUCUUCGGAUUGUAAAGCACUUUAAGUUGGGAGGAAGGGUUGUAGAUUAAUACUCUGCAAUUUUGACGUUACCGACAGAAUAAGCACCGGCUAACUCUGUGCCAGCAGCCGCGGUAAUACAGAGGGUGCAAGCGUUAAUCGGAAUUACUGGGCGUAAAGCGCGCGUAGGUGGUUUGUUAAGUUGGAUGUGAAAUCCCCGGGCUCAACCUGGGAACUGCAUUCAAAACUGACUGACUAGAGUAUGGUAGAGGGUGGUGGAAUUUCCUGUGUAGCGGUGAAAUGCGUAGAUAUAGGAAGGAACACCAGUGGCGAAGGCGACCACCUGGACUAAUACUGACACUGAGGUGCGAAAGCGUGGGGAGCAAACAGGAUUAGAUACCCUGGUAGUCCACGCCGUAAACGAUGUCAACUAGCCGUUGGAAGCCUUGAGCUUUUAGUGGCGCAGCUAACGCAUUAAGUUGACCGCCUGGGGAGUACGGCCGCAAGGUUAAAACUCAAAUGAAUUGACGG
rnacentral:rRNA from 1 species